GAUGAACGCUGGCGGCGUGCCUAAUACAUGCAAGUCGAGCGAACAGAUGGGGAGCUUGCUCCUCUGACGUUAGCGGCGGACGGGUGAGUAACACGUGGAUAACCUACCUAUAAGACUGGGAUAACUUCGGGAAACCGGAGCUAAUACCGGAUAAUAUAUUGAACCGCAUGGUUCAAUAGUGAAAGACGGUUUUGCUGUCACUUAUAGAUGGAUCCGCGCCGCAUUAGCUAGUUGGUAAGGUAACGGCUUACCAAGGCAACGAUGCGUAGCCGACCUGAGAGCGUGAUCGGCCCCACUGGAACUGAGACACCGUCCAGACUCCUACGUGAGGCAGCAGUAGGGAAUCUUCCGCAAUGGGCGAAAGCCUGACGGAGCAACGCCGCGUGAGUGCUGAAGGUCUUCGGAUCGUAAAACUCUGUUAUUAGGGAAGAACAAAUGUGUAAGUAACUAUGCACGUCUUGACGGUACCUACUCAGAAAGCCACGGCUAACUACGUG
rnacentral:rRNA from 1 species